rnacentral:tRNA from 1 species
GCACGGGUAGCUCAGUUAGUAGAGCGCCGGACUGAAAAUCCGGGCGUCGCAGGUGCAACUCCUGCCCUGUGCGCCA